AUCCAUUUCAUUUAGCAAAUAGUGUUGGUCCCAGGAAAAAGCACCAAGCCUGGGAAUCCCUGCCACAAUGACAGAAUCACAUUCAACAGCUGCUUCCAGCAUAGGAUGCAAUCCCCGCCGCCAGCAUCCCUCCCACCUCCAGAAAUAGUAAACAUCUGCCAAGAGAGAGCCCCAUUAGUAAAAUUCCCACCUUCUAAGGGUCAUCGAUUGGCUUUCUUCUGAGCUUCCUGCCUGCUUCCCUCAUCUCUGCAGCCUGUUAGAGCCUGCCACGACCGCGUGGGCAACCCCUAGCUGCAGUUUCUUUCCUCUUCUCUGCCCUCAGCACUUUCCCCUCCAGGAGCACAACUCUGAGCUGUCAUUCCUGUCAACCAGAUGGGAGAUCAGCCACAAAGCUGCUCCGCCUCUCGCAAGGACAGGAACUCUUGUGGCAGGCAGGCUUUCGGGGCGGCUCCAAGAGGGAGUGAGUGAGUCUGGGCCUCUUAGUCGCUGUGGUCAUGGUAAGGGAAAGUGACCUGUUUGUCACCAGGUUUCCCUUGGAAGUCCCCCACCCUCAGGCCUGGCUCCCCGCACUUCCCCUUUUGGUCCCUUCUGCUCUCACAGCUUCACUGCAGCCAGCGUGGAGCAGGAUGCUGACAGCAGAGUGGCUCCAGUGAGCUGCCAUUCCAGAUGUCAGGAACAAGCUCACAGACUGAGUGAAGCCGAGAAGGAUUGCAAACACCAGUGAGAAAGGGCUGGGAGACAACAGUGACGGAGAAGAGGAGCAGGCUUUCAGGCGAUAAGGUGGCUGUGAACUGCUUUGAAAUGAGGACAGGCCUCCUGGGAGGAGGGAAGAAUGCACCGAAGCAUGCACUGAUGAAAGUUUCUAUCCAAAGACCCAGAGCCACACUGCUCUUCAUGGAAUGGGGCUGUAUCCUGGCUCAACAACCACAGCAUUUUCACACUUAACAAAAGAAAAGGUUACAGUUUCCUGAGAUCAACUGCGGUCUGAAAAUCGAAGUCUUCAAUCAACACAACUGAGCUGAGACUCCUCUAGAAGAGAGCUAUCAGGGUCCUGACAGACAGCUGUGUUUCUGCAUCGUGUCGCCUGAGGGCUUUCUUCUGUGACCAGAAACUGCUCUGCCCCCAAGCAGCACUGGCCUGGAACUGGAGAAUUAAAGACCUCCCUAAUCCCACACGCAAACUUUGAUGUGAUUGGCAUAUAAGUAUCUUAGCACCCUAGUAUCAUGAGUUACAUGGCGCUGAGGCACAUAUUCCACGCUGGGCCCAGCACUUCCCAGAGGGACUGAGUCCCAGGGUGGCAUCUCACUUGGUGAUGUGCCUUGUACUGGUUACCUUCCCUUCCCAUGUCAGCUCACUCUUCUACUGGCGUGUGCUGGAAUCACCUCCCAAACCAACUAUUUAAAUCUUUGCUUCUGGAGAGACCCCAACUAAAAUAAUAUGUAUUUGCUCUAAGUAGUUUGAUACAGAGCAGAUAAUGAAAAACAGGAGCUGACAAUUAUAAAGUGGAAUUCUUGAGCAAGUGGUAAGCUCCAUUUCUUAGCCUUCUACACCCUCCUCCUCACAACACCAGAGUCAAGAAUUCCUGUCUCCUAAGGAAAUGUCUCUUAUGGCUUGGGUGGAUGCUGUUGUAGGGGUAUGAAACAAGCCAGUUCCCUUAGCCAGUGAGUAUGCACUGGCUGUUUAGAAUGUGCCCAACAGGCGCCAGCCUCUGGAGAGGUCAUUAAUAGCCUCGGGCAUGGUCCCUGCCUCAAGUUGGAGAGUUAGGGCUCAUGAAGUAAGGAGCAAUACAUUUCCAGCCCGUGCUGUUUGACAGCAGUACUUUUCAACACUCGGCCACAUGUGCUGAAGCCUGCUGGUGUCUGCCCAGGUCCCCUCGACUGGAGGGGACCCUGUGCCCCCUCUAGAGCAUUGAUGAGUAACUCACAGCUGUCUCUCCAGAGAGUCAUCCUUGGCCAAACCUUCAUGUGGGCAGCUACCACCCACCACACCAGCCCCUCUUCCAGAUCAGACCUCAGCAAACCUGACUGGCCUAGGGAUACAGAAGACCAGCCUCUUGCGUCCACGUGGGACCAAGUCUGCAGUGUGACUUGUGCUCCAGAACUCUCCCACAGGCUCAGCCUGAAGUCAGGCUCCAGCGAAGCCCAUCCCUGCCUGGCUUCUCUCCACAGUCCUAUUCUGCUGCCCUGACUCCUCUUCCCUAAGGGCUAUUGCCCAGCGAAGCCCAUGGUCUCAGACUGGGCUUCAAAGAAACCUGACUCCAUGUUAGCAUCUUCUGCGGAGUUUUAUAAAAACACAUACACCUGAACUUAACCACCUAGACUUACUGAGCCAGAAGCUAUAGAGCUUCAAGAGUGGGAACCAGACAACUGUAUGCUUUAAAGCCUAAUAGAUAUUUCUAAUUCACCAGUUUAUCUCUCAACUUUUCAUUUUGAAAAUGCCAAACUUACAGAAAUAAUGAAAGUAUAAUGUAGUGAUAAAUAUCUACAUACUCAGCAUCUAGAUAUACCAAUUAUUAAUAUUUUGCUCCAUUUUCCUCUCUCUCUCUCACAUAUCAAAAAUAAUUUGCAAGUAAAUUGUAGACAUUAUGACACUUUAUCCUUCAGUUCUUCAGCAGAUAUUAUCCAAGAAUAAAGACAUUCUCCUACAUAACCCCAGUGUCAUAAUCACCCACAGGAAAUUAAUACUAACUUGUUAACAUCCCCAGAGCAUACAGUCCAUAGUUAAGAUGUACCCUCUGUUUUAGGCCAAAGGUGGCAAUUUUCUCAACUUUAGACUCAACAGAAGUUUGGAGAAGGGAAAAAUCUGUAUGAGUUGAAUAGAAAGGAAAAUACUUCAUGGAGGAAAGAGGAUAAGAAUUGGGCUGUGAAGGAUUGACAUUAGAAAGAAGGGGUGGAGCAAAUGCUCAGAUAGAAGCAGGUAAAUACCUAUGCAAACAUGCAGACAUGGGCAUUGGAAUUGCCUUUUGUGGGAGGAGAAGACUGAGCAGAAUUUGUGGACUAGGAUAGGUAGGCUGUGCAGCUGGACAGGCCUCAUGCAAUCUGAGUACAGAGAAAUUGCCAAUCCAAGCAAUCAAAAAAACAGUGGCCACACACCAAGAAACGUUAAAGGUGACUGCACUUAGGAGAGUGGCAUCAGAUUUGUGGGACACAUUCAGGUGAAUUCUAGUCAGGACCAUGGCAAAGCAUUUGGGGUCAGAAUUAAACUGGGGAGUUAAUUACUGAUUGAAAUUCAUUUAUUCAUAUAUUCGUUCUACCAGCAUUUUCUGAGUACAUAUUAUGUGCCAAAAUACCAAUGUGAACACAGGAAAUAAAGCACUGAAAAAACAGACAAGGUCCUUGCUUUCAUGAAACUUAGGUAGGGGUGUGUGUGUGUGUGCGCGUGUGUGUGUGUGUUGGUUGAGUGGG
rnacentral:lncRNA from 10 species